AUUGAACGCUGGCGGCAGGCCUAACACAUGCAAGUCGAACGAGUGGCGGACGGGUGAGUAAUAUCUCGGAAACUGCCUGAUGGAGGGGGAUAACUACUGGAAACGGUAGCUAAUACCGCAUACCAUCGGAUCUGCCCAGAUGGGAUUAGCUAGUAGGUGGGGUAAAGGCUCACCUAGGCAACGAUCCCUAGCUGGUCUGAGAGGAUGACCAGCCACACUGGGACUGAGACACGGCCCAGACUCCUACGGGAGGCAGCAGUGGGGAAUAUUGCACAAUGGGGGCAAGCCGGAUGCAGCCAUGCCGCGUGUAUGAAGAAGGCCUUCGGGUUGUAAAGUACUUUCAGCGGGGAGGCGUUACCUGCAGAAGAAGCACCGGCUAACUCCGUGCCAGCAGCCGCGGUAAUUC
rnacentral:rRNA from 1 species